GACGAACGCUGGCGGCGUGCUUAACACAUGCAAGUCGAACGGAAAGGCCCUGCUUUUGUGGGGUGCUCGAGUGGCGAACGGGUGAGUAACACGUGAGUAACCUGCCCUUGACUUUGGGAUAACUUCAGGAAACUGGGGCUAAUACCGGAUAGGAGCUCCUGCUGCAUGGUGGGGGUUGGAAAGUUUCGGCGGUUGGGGAUGGACUCGCGGCUUAUCAGCUUGUUGGUGGGGUAGUGGCUUACCAAGGCUUUGACGGGUAGCCGGCCUGAGAGGGUGACCGGCCACAUUGGGACUGAGAUACGGCCCAGACUCCUACGGGAGGCAGCAGUGGGGAAUAUUGCACAAUGGGCGGAAGCCUGAUGCAGCAACGCCGCGUGCGGGAUGACGGCCUUCGGGUUGUAAACCGCUUUCGCCUGUGACGAAGCGUGAGUGACGGUAAUGGGUAAAGAAGCACCGGCUAACUACGUGCCAGCAGCCGCGGUGAUACGUAGGGUGCGAGCGUUGUCCGGAUUUAUUGGGCGUAAAGGGCUCGUAGGUGGUUGAUCGCGUCGGAAGUGUAAUCUUGGGGCUUAACCCUGAGCGUGCUUUCGAUACGGGUUGACUUGAGGAAGGUAGGGGAGAAUGGAAUUCCUGGUGGAGCGGUGGAAUGCGCAGAUAUCAGGAGGAACACCAGUGGCGAAGGCGGUUCUCUGGGCCUUUCCUGACGCUGAGGAGCGAAAGCGUGGGGAGCGAACAGGCUUAGAUACCCUGGUAGUCCACGCUGUAAACGGUGGGUACUAGGUGUGGGGGUCCAUUCCACGGGUUCCGUGCCGUAGCUAACGCUUUAAGUACCCCGCCUGGGGAGUACGGCCGCAAGGCUAAAACUCAAAGGAAUUGACGGGGCCCCGCACAAGCGGCGGAGCAUGCGGAUUAAUUCGAUGCAACGCGUAGAACCUUACCUGGGUUUGACAUGGAUCGGGAGUGCUCAGAGAUGGGUGUGCCUCUUUUGGGGUCGGUUCACAGGUGGUGCAUGCCUGUCGUCAGCUCGUGUCGUGAGAUGUUGGGUUAAGUCCCGCAACGAGCGCAACCCUUGUUCACUGUUGCCAGCACGUUAUGGUGGGGACUCAGUGGAGACCGCCGGGGUCAACUCGGAGGAAGGUGGGGAUGACGUCAAGUCCUCAUGCCCCUUAUGUCCAGGGCUUCACGCAUGCUACAAUGGCUGGUACAGAGAGUGGCGAGCCUGUGAGGGUGAGCGAAUCUCGGAAAGCCGGUCUCAGUUCGGAUUGGGGUCUGCAACUCGACCUCAUGAAGUCGGAGUCGCUAGUAAUCGCAGAUCAGCAACGCUGCGGUGAAUACGUUCCCGGGGCUUGUACACACCGCCCGUCAAGUCAUGAAAGUUGGUAACACCCGAAGCCGGUGGCCUAACCGUUGUGGGGGAGCCGUCGAAGGUGGGACUGGUGA
rnacentral:rRNA from 1 species